rnacentral:lncRNA from 1 species
CCACGCCCUUCAAAACUGCACACUCUAGAAACCCAGUGGAUCGACCAAAACUCUUUAUAACGCCGCCCGAGGGCUCUGCUCGGAGGAGGACCAUUCACGGGAUAUCGGUGAGUACUGUCUGGAGAGGCCCGUGUGCACCGGGAGUCAGGCCGUUUGUCUGCAGAGUGGGCUCUGCCCUAAGGAAGACUCUAGGCACAGGAUCAGGGAAACUGCUACACCCUACCCCACCCCACCAUUAUAACCCGAGCUGGCUGUGCUCCUGCCCCUCACUGCCUCUCACUUGCGGGUCUUGCUCUCCUUAAACAUUUGAAGCUGCUCUUUCCUAAAGCACAAAUGAGUGGCAGGUCUAUUCUGCUGGGACCUUUGUACAAGUAA